GGGAGGNUCAUUGGAAACUGGUUGACUNGAGUGCAGAAGAGGAGAGUGGAAUNCCAUGUGUAGCGGUGAAAUGCGUAGAUAUAUGGAGGAACACCAGUGGCGAAGGCGACUCUCUGGUCUGUAACUGACGCUGAGGCUNGAAAGCGUGGGUAGCAAACAGGAUUAGAUACCCUGGUAGUCCACGCCGUAAACGAUGAGUGCUAAGUGUUGGAGGGUUUCCGCCCUUCAGUGCUGCAGUUAACGCAUUAAGCACUCCGCCUGGGGAGUACGACCGCAAGGUUGAAACUCAAAGGAAUUGACCGGGACCCGCACAAGCGGUGGAGCAUGUGGUUUAAUUCGAAGCAACGCGAAGAACCUUGCCAAGUCUUGACAUCCUUUGACCACUCUAGAGAUAGAGCUUUCCCUUCGGGGACAAAGUGACAGGUGGUGCAUGGUUGUCGUCAGCUCGUGUCGUGAGAUGUUGGGUUAAGUCCCGCAACGAGCGCAACCCUUAUUACUAGUUGCCAGCAUUGAGUUGGGCACUCUAGUGAGACUGCCGGUGACAAACCGGAGGAAGGUGGGGAUGACGUCAAAUCAUCAUGCCCCUUCUGACUUGGGCUACACACGUGCUACAAUGGAUGGUACAACGAGCAGCGAACUCGCGAGGGUAAGCGAAUCUCUUAAAGCCAUUCUCAGUUCGGAUUGUAGGCUGCAACUCGCCUACAUGAAGCCGGAAUCGCUAGUAAUCGCGGAUCAGCACGCCGCGGUGAAUACGUUCCCGGGUCUUGUACACACCGCCCGUCACACCACGAGAGUUCGUAACACCCAAAGUCGGUGAGGUAACCUUA
rnacentral:rRNA from 1 species